rnacentral:rRNA from 1 species
GUGCCAGCAGCCGCGGUAAUACGUAGGUGGCAAGCGUUGUCCGGGAAUUAUUGGGCGUAAAGCGCGCGCAGGCGGUCUCUUAAGUCUGAUGUGAAAGCCCACGGCUCAACCGUGGAGGGUCAUUGGAAACUGGGGGACUUGAGUGCAGAAGAGGAGAGCGGAAUUCCACGUGUAGCGGUGAAAUGCGUAGAGAUGUGGAGGAACACCAGUGGCGAAGGCGGCUCUCUGGUCUGUAACUGACGCUGAGGCGCGAAAGCGUGGGGAGCGAACAGGAUUAGAUACCCUGGUAGUCC